rfam:Pseudomonas sp. GM78 PMI35_contig68.68, whole genome shotgun sequence.
GUCGGCGUUGUUACCCUGCAGACGCAAACGUUUACGUUGACGUCCGAACUGCCGGGCCGCACCAGUGCGUUCCGCAUUGCUGAAGUGCGCCCACAGGUCAACGGCAUCAUUCUCAAGCGUCUGUUCAAGGAAGGCGGCGACGUCAAGGCCGGCCAGCAGCUGUAUCAGAUCGA